rnacentral:rRNA from 1 species
AGCGGCGGACGGGUGAGUAACGCGUGGGAAUAUGCCCUUCUCUAAGGAAUAGCCUCGGGAAACUGAGAGUAAUACCUUAUACGCCCUACGGGGGAAAGAUUUAUCGGAGAAGGAUUAGCCCGCGUUAGAUUAGGUAGUUGGUGGGGUAAUGGCCUACCAAGCCUACGAUCUAUAGCUGGUUUGAGAGGAUGAUCAGCCGCACUGGGACUGAGACACGGCCCAGACUCCUACGGGAGGCAGCAGUAGGGAAUCUUAGACAAUGGGGGAAACCCUGAUCUAGCCAUGCCGCGUGUGUGAUGAAGGCCUUAGGGUCGUAAAGCACUUUCGCCAGAGAUGAUAAUGACAGUAUCUGGUAAAGAAACCCCGGCUAACUCCGUGCCAGCAGCCGCGGUAAUACGGAGGGGGUUAGCGUUGUUCGGAAUUACUGGGCGUAAAGCGCACGUAGGCGGAUUAGUAAGUUAGAGGUGAAAUCCCAGGGCUCAACCCUGGAACUGCCUUUAAUACUGCUAGUCUUGAGUUCGAGAGAGGUAAGUGGAAUUCCAAGUGUAGAGGUGAAAUUCGUAGAUAUUCAGAGGAACACCAGUGGCGAAAGCGGCUUACUGGCUCGAUACUGACGCUGAGUGCGAAAGUGUGGGGAGCAACAGCAUUAGAUACCCUGGUAGUCCACACCGA